rnacentral:rRNA from 1 species
GACGAACGCUGGCGGCGUGCUUAACACAUGCAAGUCGAGCGGUAAGGCCUUUCGGGGUACACGAGCGGCGAACGGGUGAGUAACACGUGGGUGAUCUGCCCUGCACUCUGGGAUAAGCCUGGGAAACUGGGUCUAAUACCGGAUAUGACUACAUGCUGCAUGGUGUGUGGUGGAAAGAUUUAUCGGUGCAGGAUGGGCCCGCGGCCUAUCAGCUUGUUGGUGGGGUAAUGGCCUACCAAGGCAACGAUCAGUAGCGGGUCUUAGAGGACGAUCCGCCACACUGGAACUGAGACACGGUCCAGACUCCUACGGGAGGCAGCAGUGGGGAAUCUUGGACAAUGGGCGCAAGCCUGAUCCAGCAAUGCCGCGUGCGUGAAGAAGGUCUUCGGAUUGUAAAGCACUUUAAGUCGGGAGGAAGGGCUGUAGGCUAAUACCUUGCAGUUUUGACGUUACCGACAGAAUAAGCACCGGCUAACUUCGUGCCAG